AACAAAUAAAAGCAGAGGUCCAGUACACAGAUGAGGGUUUGGGGGAAACCGAAAGCUCAGACAACAAGAGAGAAGUGAGAAGGCAGCAGAGGGAAGGGUUGGGUUGGGUGUUGCCCCCUUCUGCAGCCCAUGAUCUUCGAUUUCCCCCCAACAUUCAACACCCAUAUGUAUUGCUUAUGUCUUCAGUCUACUACUCUACCAUACAUUUUCGAUCCUGUAAUCUUUGUGCUUGUUUGUUGCCUCUUUCAACUGUCAUUUCCCCCAAAUACGAUGAAACAUAUCGGUAUUCUUUUGGUCUUGUUUCUCGUAGAGGCUAAAUUAUGAAGAAAAAACAGCAAUGAUUUUAGAGGCAAUGAUGAUGACUUUCUAGUUGUUGUCUGAGCGAAUCGAACAAAGGUUGAAACAGAUCGUAUCUUGGCGGGGUAAUCUACGGAGGCUUCUAUAUGUAGCAAACGUGACGUUUGCAGCCAUGGCGGUUUGUUCUUCUUUGUUUUGAUUGUUAACAUAUCUGAGCCUCUUGAGUUUUUCUUCUACAAGUUUUCGUUGAUUUUUUACAAAAAAAAAUGUGUUCCAGUUUAUUUAAUGUAGUGCAACGAUUUGUCUACAGCUAUAGGAAUAUCAUUAUAAAUAAGUUGAACAAACCCUAGAUGAACUAUGCUAAGAAGUUAGUGAAUUUGCUCAGAGGAUUUAAAGCUUAGAAUUAUCUCUAACCAUUUGAUUAACUGAUUAUCGGCGAUAUUGACGAUAUUCAACUGAUAUAUCACGAUUUUUCUGAUUUCGGUACCUUUCUUCUUAGUUCUACCAUUCGUCUUUCUUCUUAUUGCUGCUAUUAGUGUUUUAAGUCUUAAUCAGUUCCUACUUGCUACAAUUGUUAGUGUUUUGCAAGUUGCAAAAGGUUAAUUUGUUAAUGGUAGGAGAGUAUACUGAACUGUUAAUGUUAAAUUGCUAUAUAUAUAAAUUAUUAUGCAUCAUAUUAAAAUCACCGAUAUCCCACCGCGAUAACCUAUAUCUCAUGUAUCGGUCCUUGAACGAUAUCCAUUUUUUACCUCAUUAACUGCAUAGUUCUAUUGAUGCUGCUACUGCUGUUGUUUCAUUUGUAAAGGCUGUGAUGAUGGAAAUUAUUUCGAGCAAAAUCGGAAUUUACAGAUCUGAUCCGUAUCUUGGCUAGGCAACUCAGUCUGUAUGUAUUUGAGACAUGCAACUGUGAUUGCAGCCAUGGCGGAUUUCGACAAUAAAUUCCGAUGAUAACAUAUCUGAGCCUCAAAAUCUUUAUCCUUGGAGAUAAGAACAUCUAUCUACCAAGAGGUGCACAUUUUGGUUUUUUCCUAAACCAGUUCAGGUUGGAAUUGUUUUGGUUUGGGUCAACAAUUGUCAAAACUGGUAUUUGGUGAAACCGGUUUACAAGUGGAAAAGGAUCGGUUUGGUUUGGUUUGGUUUGGUUUGAAACUAGUUCUGGUUAUUAACUGGUUUCAAGGGAUAAGUUCUCGAGCCGGUGGUAGGUUUGAAACGGGGACCAGUUUCACCAAACCUGUUUCAUAAUCGGUUUUGGGUCGGGUCGGGUCAAAACUGUUUUUUUGUUCACCUCAACAUUUAUUAUAACCGCCUUAAAAUAUAAGAUGAGGUGUUACAUUGUGUUAUUCUCAUGUGAAUUGAGACUUAGGGGAGAUUGAGGAGGUUUCUGAGGGUAACUUCCUCUUGCCAUUUGAUCCUAUGAUUUUGAUGCUGAUUCGCCCUAACCAACUGAGCUACUCUGUCUGUCUAUCUUUCAAACAAACAAACACUUGAUCUUCAUGUUGUUCUGUGUUUACGGAUCAUAAUCUGGCGCCUUUGCUGGUACAAUGUUGUUAUGAGGCGGUGAUGAUGAAAUGAUUUUUGAGCAAAAUAGGAGUAUGGAGACCCGAUCCGUAUCUUGGCGGGGCAAUCCAGAUAGCAACUGCGAUCGCAGCCAUGGCGGAUUUGGGCGUCCUAUAUCUGACUACAACAGAUCUGAGCCUCUUAUCUGUCAGCUGAUUUACUCGAUCUAUGAAUGUUGUUUUAAAAAGACUUGUUUUUCUAUCCAAAAAGGGUUAGUGAUGCGGCUUGUUGCCCGUUUGCCUUCUGUUUCGAUGUGAUUUCUUUUUGAGAGGUUUAAUUAAUCCAUGUUAAAACAAAGUUGUGGGUUUGCUCAGAGGAAUGAGGCUCUGGCUAGAGAGAGAGAUCUAGGUUUCGCAGAGGAGAGUUGCCUAUCGCAGUAUCUCUUGCCAUUGAUCAACCGAUUGAAUAUGAGCCCAUGAUUUCGUCACAUGAUAUGUUUGAUUAAACACCUCUCUCCUUUUAUGGCAUUGGAGGAUGAUUGAUCUUGAUUAUGUUGCUGCUGUUGUUCCAUUUAAAAAGGCUAUGACGAUGGAAAUUAUUUUGAGCAAACUUGGAUUUUACAAAUCGGAUCCGUAUCUUGGCUUGGCAACCCGGUUGGUAUGUAUUUGUUUACGUGAUUGCAGCCAUGGCGGUUUCGACAACAAAUUCUUAUUAUUAUAUAUCUGAGCCUCAAAACUCUAUUUCAUAUGUCCCUCAAGAUCUGAAGAUCUUCGUGUUGAAUAUAGAACCAAACAAGUGUCGCUAUUCGGGUCAUAGCGACCAAGUGUCGCUAUUUGAUGUAAAUAGCAAUUAGAUAUAGCUAUAAAAUAGCUGGAUUUAUAGGUUUUUGUUAAAUAUACAUGUAAAAUAGCAUAUAUACCAAAGUAUUUUGAUAUAAUAUACAUAUAAAAAGUUUCAACAUUCUUUUUCGAGUGUAUCGCUAUUUAUAAAAUAGCGGUCGCUAUUUGUCGCUAUUUGCUAUGUAAACAUAUAGGUCCCUUGUCGCUAUUCGCUAUUAAUAACUAUGGGUGAGAACAAACCUUUCUUUAUCACAUGAGAUAAGAAUUGUACAUGCACAUUUACCUAGAGGUGCGCAUUCGGGUUUUUUUCUCCAAAUCGCUUCGGUUUGGGUCAACAACUUUCAAAAUCGGCCUUUGGUGAAACCCUUUUACAGGUGGAUCACCUUUUUAUCAUUUGUGGGUUGGUGAGUGAUGUGUGGCGACAGGUUUUAUUGUGGUACAAAAUCCCCAUGUUCUGCGAUAAGCGAGUGGGUCAAUUACCUCUGGUUAAAUUCUCAUAUGAGAUCACAUUGCAAGCUUCUUCGAAUCAUCGAGUAGUUCUUACAGUCUUGUGGUGCAUCUGAGAUGACCAAGUUUUUAAUAAUGAGGCGAACUCUAUGAAGAUAUUAGAGGAGGUUGAAACUGUCUUUUCUUUAUAUGUGGAACAGCGGUGGUGGCGUUGUUAUGGCUAUGGGGGUGAUUACCGGCGGUCAACAAUGAUUUUUCAAGAUGUAAGAAAACCCGAGAAUGGGUUGUGUGCAAAUUUAUGCCUUUAUUCUGGAUGCUCUACAUGAGGGUGAAUUGAAAGCUUCGGAAGUGGUUAGCAGCAAUUCAAGUUCGUCGCAACACGCAUACCCUACGUUGAGUCAGUGUUGGUGGUUGAUGACGGUUGUGUGAUAUUAGUACUAUUUGACACCGUUUUACGCCCCGCUGCAACGCGGGGUGUGCUUUGGGGGUUUUCAAAGAAAAAUGGUUAUGCAUAUGGUUGUCGUAACGUUGGCUUUGGGGGUUUUCCAAAAAAAAUUUAUUUUUUUUACUUCACCCAAAAGUAUUUCAUAAAUUACUUUUAACCCAAAAUUAUUUGUUUUUUUUACUUUUAACCCAAAACUUUUUAUCUUUUGCAAUCUAUCUUUGCAACUUUUUUUACUUUCAACUUUGGUCCUUUAUUGUUUUCAUUUUUCGCAAAUUUUUCGCCUUAUGCUCCGUUCUAAAUUUUGUGACUUAACGCAUCGCAACGUGCGUCUUUGAUUUAACGUUUUUACUUUUCGUUCUAAAUUUUGCGAAUUGUGGGUGAACGUUUUUACAUCGUCUAUUUUUCCCGUUUCACAGGUUUAACAUAACGUGCGGGUCCUAGAUCGACUUAGUUAUAACUAAAGAAUCCCCGCCGCAUUGCGGCGGGUCGCAAUUCUAGUUAUUAUAUAUAUUAAAGAAGACAGGUGUCAACCGUUUGAAGGUGGUCAUAGUUUAAAAUAUAUAAAAAACUGAGGUGGGUCACGCUGUUCACUAUUUAAGUAACACGAUCCAUCCAUCCAUCCAUCCUCCAGAUUAUCCAUACAGCAAACACCGCCAUGGCUGCGAAGCUCGUCAUCAACAAGCACCUCCGCUCUCUAACCACCGCUCGUUCUUCCAUCUGCUCUGCGCGGCGGAGAUUGCACGAAUCAGCAUACGAGAAGGAAGUAGAAGAUGAGGUUCCUCCGGUGGAAGAGAUGUUGGAUCAACCAGCAGAGGAAUACUGGGAGCCUGAUCCGGAUACUGGAGUGUUCGUGCCAGCAAGUGAACAGAAGUCGGAGGAACCGGCGGUGAGUUGCAGCACGGAGGAAACGGUGUUGGAUGAGAAGGCGUUUUUCCGGCCACAGGAGGAUCUGGAAGCGCCUCCACCGGAAUCCUUCACAGGCGAGAUACCUCCUGUUGAUCCCUUUGCUGAAUGAUUUCUUCUGUAGAAAUGCUUCUGUAUUUUGAGUCUUGUGUAUUUUUUUGUUUUAGUAAAAGUAGGUUCUUUUAUACGUGUAACAAUAAUGAAAAGUAAAAUAGGAGGUUGAGCUGCUAGUUAAGUUUCAUUUUAUGUACUUACUUUUACUGAUUUUUAUGCUAAACAAAACUUAAUCGAAACAAGGUUUAAUUCUGUUAA